rnacentral:tRNA from 2 species
GGGGCUGCAGCUCAGUGGUAAAGCACUUGCCUUGCAAGUAUGUGGCACUGGAUUCGAUCCUCAGCUCCA